rnacentral:rRNA from 1 species
AUUGAACGCUGGCGGCAGGCCUAACACAUGCAAGUCGAGCGGAUGAAGGGAGCUUGCUCCUGGAUUCAGCGGCGGACGGGUGAGUAAUGCCUAGGAAUCUGCCUGGUAGUGGGGGAUAACGUCCGGAAACGGGCGCUAAUACCGCAUACGUCCUGAGGGAGAAAGUGGGGGAUCUUCGGACCUCACGCUAUCAGAUGAGCCUAGGGCGGAUUAGCUAGUUGGUGGGGUAAAGGCCUACCAAGGCGACGCUCCGUAACUGGUCUGAGAGGAUGAUCAGUCACACUGGAACUGAGACACGGUCCAGACUCCUACGGGAGGCAGCAGUGGGGAAUAUUGGACAAUGCGCGAAAGCCUGAUCCAGCCAUGCCGCGUGUGUGCAGGAGGUCUUCGGAUUGUAAAGCACUUUUAGUUGGGAGGAAGGGCAGUAAGUUAAUCCCUUGCUGUUUUGACGUUACCAACAGAAUAAGCACCGGCUAACUUCGUG